CAGUGUAAGUUACCUUCCCCUUCGACUAGUGGCCAGCAAGCUUUGGCUGCGAGAAGACGUGCGUUUAGUUCGUACCGCGACGAUCGCAUUAUCGCGGCUACGCGAGAGACUCCUUUUCUCUUUCUCUCCCUCUCUCGCUCGUGUGUGCGCGCGCGCGUGUUUUCGUGUUUGUGUGUGCGUGCUUAAUCUGUACGAGAAGUGGCAGUGUUUCUGGCUCGGCCGUAGGACCCGGACAGUGAGGAAAUCAUUCUUGAAAUUUGGAAAACCGCCGAACAAACUCGGCCGCCCCUUGUAGCCGGAAUCGCUGUGGCCAUCGAGGACUCGACCGAGCCUUUCAGUGUUCCCUCGUUCCUUUCUCUGUUUCGCGCUACUGUGUUUCUUAUGGACAAGCACCGCCCCCUUUCCACCUCCGUCCCUCCGAUCGUAACGUUAUGAGGCCAGCUGAGCGUAACUGACGGAGAAGAGGGAGAACAGGCUUGCGUGCGUGUGUCAAACAUAACCUAGCAUCGUUACCGUGGAUGUAGCGAGAGUAAAUCUAACGAAAAAACGUGACACGCGUCCAGUUUUAAUAAUUCCGCAUUGGUGACAUUCACGCAUCCAAUAGCUCUCCUGGUUUAGAAAGCGUAUCGAGCGUCAAAGGAUUCGGUGGGAACUACGAAAGUGUUGUUCUUCCUUUCUCGACACCACCAAGUAGAAACGUCCGAACACGCAACGCCCCGUUUACUAUCGACAGUGCUAAGGGAUACUUACACGAGGACACCGCCUCUACUCCGAAGGUUACUCUUCGCAUGUAUCGUUUUUGCCAUAAGUCGCGAUAAAAGGACGCGACCACAGCCGCAGCGUCGAGCGUGGUGUCACGAGUCCCCUUUGCCUCUCGUGCUCCUCAAGCUUCAGCCCUUCCCGCCGUACCUCGAGAGCGCGCGACAUUCGAAACUGAGCUACGUAAUAUUCCAUCAGAACGCAAUUUGCAAUUUUCCAUCGAAACUCGUCGAUUUCCAUUAUCGUGAUCGACGAUCGAAUCACUCGAUCCAGGGAAUAUUCGCGUGCUUCUCGAAAUAUGGAAUCGAGAGCGAUAUCGAGAUCUAUAGACUUCUAAAUUGAUACGGCGUGUCUAUUAGUCAAUCCUUCUUUGGAUAACAGUGAUCUUGCGAGAAUCUUAUCCAGUUUAAUCGUUGAAAGCCAAAAAAAGUCGUUUUGAAUGCUCUCAUCGCUAUCGUGGUGAAACGAAAACGAGAAAAAGAACUUCAAGUUGUGUCAGUGUCACGUGUGUGCCCCGUCACUGGGACGAUAACGAGAUAUCUAAUAGAGAAAGAAGUGUUUGAUCGAACAGGUGAAACAGAGUGAGCAGGAAAAAUCGAAACGGUCGGAAAAGAAUCGACGAGCAGGAGAGGCGUGUCCCGGCUUCCCUGAAGUGGCAGGGGCCUUGGCGGUGGCGGUGGCGGUGAAUAGGGAAAGGGUUGAGGAGGGUGGCCCCUAGGGAGAGAGGAGAGUUUUGAUGGCAGUAGUUGGGCCCAGUCGGCACUCGCGGGUGUCCAUGAGCGUGUCUAUGUCGCUAAUGCAGGGGGGUGGGGCGGGGGCGACAGGUGGCGGUGGGACAACGGGGGCCCACCCUGGGCAAGCGGUUCUCGCGGCAGCGGCCCAAGCACCCCCCACCUACUACCACCCUGCCGCUCCUGCGCCUCCGCCACCGCCGCCGGCCCAGGAUCUCGUUCAGCCCGACAGACCCAUCGGAUAUGGUGCCUUUGGCGUUGUCUGGGCGGUGACGGAUCCAAGGGACGGUAGGAGAGUGGCCUUGAAGAAACUGCCGAACGUCUUUCAGAGCCUCGUGAGUAGCAAACGGGUCUUCAGGGAGUUGAAGAUGCUCUGCUUCUUCAAACACGAAAACGUCCUGUCGGCCCUGGACAUCCUUCAGCCACCGCAUCUGGACUUCUUCCAAGAAAUAUACGUGAUCACGGAGCUGCUUCAGAGCGACCUACACAAGAUCAUCGUCAGCCCUCAGCAUCUCAGCCCCGACCAUAUCAAGGUCUUCCUCUACCAGAUCCUCCGAGGCCUCAAAUACCUUCAUUCAGCCAGAAUCCUGCACAGGGACAUAAAACCAGGGAACUUACUCGUGAACAGCAAUUGCGUACUAAAGAUCUGCGAUUUCGGUUUGGCCCGAGUGGAAGAACCCGAUCAGAACAAACACAUGACGCAGGAAGUGGUGACGCAGUAUUAUCGUGCACCGGAAAUCCUGAUGGGAGCGCGACACUAUACCGCAGCCGUGGACGUUUGGAGUGUCGGUUGCAUUUUUGGCGAGCUCCUUCGUCGGCGGAUACUUUUUCAAGCACAGAGUCCUGUGCAACAGCUGGAACUGAUCACAGAAUUGCUGGGCACGCCGACCCUCGAGGACAUGAGGUUCGCGUGCGAGGGUGCGAGAUCUCACAUGCUGAGGCGCGCACCAAAGCCACCCUCGUUGACGGCUCUCUACACCCUUAGCAGCCAGGCGACGCACGAGGCUGUCCAUUUGCUCUGCCAGAUGCUAGUCUUCGAUCCCGACAAGAGGAUCACCGUGGUGGAUGCACUGGCGCAUCCUUAUCUGGACGAGGGGAGACUGAGAUAUCAUUCGUGCAUGUGCACGUGCUGUUACACGACCAGCGGAGGCUUGAGACAGUACACGGGGGACUUCGAGCCGGCCACGUCUCAUCCGUUCGACGAUCUCUGGGAACGGAAGCUCACCACCGUGCAGCAGGUGAAAGAGGAAAUGCACAAAUUUAUAGCGGAACAGCUGAACACGUCGCGCGUGCCGCUCUGCAUAAAUCCGCAGUCCGCGGCGUUCAAGAGCUUCGCAAGUUAGAGCAAGCCGAUCGCCGACCCAGCGCCCUACGCCGCGUAUACGUACACGUUACUACCACUACCAGUACCGAAUCAGCUAUCUACCACUGUCAGCUACUAUCGACUACUACCGCUAUCGUCUACCACUACUACUACUACCGCUACUACCACUACUACUACCACUACUACUACCAAUCGUGUUACGUCUCCUCCUGAACGAACCGAACGAACAGAGAGUCAGCUCUAGGCGGCGUGACCUCGCUCGCUGAGCUCCACGGUGGCUCAUCCCUCGGAAUUGCCACCCUCUCCUCACCAGUGGGAAUAAAAAUCUCCGAAAUCGCGAAAGCUGAUGAUGAACGCGCGGCCGAGUAUUCGCUUCGCUGGAAGACAGAUGUUGAAGAAUUUUCGACAGCCUGAAGAGGAAGAGUGAGAAAGGACGAGGGAAAGAGAUGGACAAAGUGAGACAAGGAUGGAACGAAGAAGAGGAAACAGGCUGGGAAAAGGGCGAAGAAAAGAGAGAAAAGCGAAUUCGGAGAAAGAAGAUGGGAAGAAAGGAGAAGAAGAAGAAGAGCCAAGAGAGACAAUAGACUGCCGAGCGCUGAAGCCUCAAUUUUCGACUAGCUGAUAUGUAUAUACAUAGACACGUGUAUGUAUAUAGAUAUCUAUAAAUAUAUAUUAUACAUACCGCUGUAUACAUGCGAGAGGGAGCCUAGGAAGAAAAAAAUGUACCGAAAUACAAAGGCGCACGAUACGAAGAGCACAGUCAAAGGAUUGAUACACAGAAGAAGAAGAGGAAGAAGAAGAGAAAAGAAGAAGGUGAAUCAGUUUCGAGGGAUUGCAGUUUGAUCAACUAGAGAAGAAAAGGAUAAAAGAAAAGGAGGACGUUACGUAGUUUGUAAGGGAGGGUCGAAAAGACGGGCCAGUCUUCUUUUAUUUUCUUUUCUUUUUAGAUUUUACACGCUUCUAUCAUUAAUGUACAUGUACACAUGUAAAACACGGCCGCUGUGGCGCGUUUCCAACGAUCGAUCAACACGGGAGAAAGGUGACCAGGAUCGAUUGCUCCUUCGUCGAACGUGUUCGACUAAUUAUUCCAUGAAUAAUCAUGUGUAAUGUGUAAAUAUAUAUUUAUAUAUAUAUAUACAUAUAUAUACAUAUAUAUAAAUAUAUGCAUGUAAAAUAUAUAUAUAUAAAUAUAUAUAUAUGUAUGUAAAAUAUAUAUAUAUAUAUAUAUAUAUAUUUAUAUUUUACACGGUCUCUCCAUCGGUAAAUUUGAGAAGCGAAAAGAAGCGUUUCAGAGUACUUCGCGAGUACUCCAGUUUACCUUGUACCUGCUGAAGCGGAAUCGUGGAUGAGGAGAACCGUGUUAGCAAGAGAAUGAAACACGAUCCAUAGGAUCGAUCGAUGGCCCCUUUCGUUCCUGAAUUUUUCAACGAAACGCUCAGCGCCACCCUAGGAUGCAUUAAAAUCGGUUCGUAAACGUUUGUAAUUAGCGUGUCCUUUUGAGAUAGCGCACACACGACCGAGCCACUUCGUCGAAGAAAGGAGAACUCGAACGAGAAGCUGCAUGUAAGGCGAAGACGGAGGAAGCAGAGUCGCGAAUCAUGGACAGAGUCAGGAUUUUCAAAGCUUUGCAUGACGCAUUGCGGCGCAAAUCUUAACUCCAAAUGGGAUGUGUCUUGAACAAAAUUGGAAUUGGAUCUUAGAGAAAUCAUUCGAAGUUUCAAAGAAGUAGACAUAGUUCUCUGUUACGCUAGGAGUCCUUUAUUUGGGCGGAAUGUUUCAAGAACUCUAAUAUAAAUCGUUCGUUAUGGUUUGAGGACCAUAUAAUUUAAGGAUAUCGACGAUUUGACAUGCUCGAAUAAAAGGAAGAAAGCUAUGGAUAACGAAGAGAACGACGAUCUACGAGUAUUGUAUUCGAUGAUCUCGAUGAAUCCUGAUGUUCGAUCGAUGCAACGAUCGCGUCCAUGGACUACGAUCUAGAAUUAGAUCCUCGCGCUGAUCUGCAAACGGCCGAAGACUCUUUUAAGAAGAUACAACAUCUGUUGGCCGAGAUAUUCGCGGUGAAGAGCGAACUUCCGUUUGCUGAAGUGCAGUGGACACGCAAAAGCUGGGCUCUAGCUUCCGUAUCAGUCGCUGCGAACAUUUAGUUUAUUUAGCGAGUUACGAACAGCAGAGAUUCUUUGAUCCGUGGUGAUCUCUAUCAAAGUGAAAGAUAGGUUUUUUAAAUGAGAAUUCGAACGGUUCUCAUCGUUUCACGGCGUCGUUCUCCAUUAAGAGAUAUUCUACUAUAGUUAGAUCGUUGUUUGUAAAAAUGGGACGACGUCGCCCCUCUCUGGUAAUUAGAGAAGCCACCUUGUUCCGAAGAUAAUUGGGAAUCGCGUGCAUUUCUAGAAGAUACGACGCUGUAUUCGCGUGUGGUGGGUCGCACGCGAUUUUAUUCCAAUAAAUAAAUGCACUGCCGACGAAUAGUGGCGAUCACGACGGUAUUCGUGAACUGAAGGAGAGCUCAAGGAGCGAAGAACACAGCGUUUGAAUGGAAGAAGCGAUCCCUAAAAAGAAUCGAAGAUGAAGGAUUUGUUCGACGUUGUCCAGAGAGUCGUCUUUGAUGUAUAGAUAAAUAGACGUUCUAGUUUAAUUUACCACGAACUUUAUGUUAGAGCGCUUCCGUGCGAGAUCUCGCUUUGGUUUUUUCAUUCUUUUUAGACGCGAAUGGUCGCUUACGGCCUUCGGAGUGUAGAAUUAGAAUGUUCGUUCUACUUUCCGAAUCUGAUUGCGUUUGAAUUACUUAGUUUCGUUCUUCUUACGUAUAAACACGUUGUUCACGUGUUACGAUCGAUUAUUGUAAUUGUCCUAACAAGAAAGUUUUACGUCUUGGCCAGGACAAAGUAAUCGUAGUUCAGAUCACGUCGAAAGUGUUUGUAAUACCAUUAGUAGUUAACAAUUACCAUUAUACCAUGAAUUCGAACGCACUCUGAGGCCGGACGAGCGCGCGGUACACAUAAUUACGUUCUGAGUGUGAUUUUACUUUAAGGAAACUUAGGUAGCCAGUAGAUUUUCACGAGAAUUACCGUAAGGAUUUUUAGGUAGCGAUUUAACGUUAGUAGCAGAAAGAAAAAAUAAUUGGGAGCUCGUUUUUUAUUAUUAUGGGCGACAAAGACGAGAAAGCAACGCAUGUGUUCUCUUUUUUACGCAGACUCAACUAAUUUCUACUAUAAAACCAUUUAUUCGCGUGAUCACGAAUAAAUACAAAAAAACACGUAACGAUUAUCGUUUAAGUAACCCUUGGCGAAAAGGGAGUUAAUAUAGAGAAGGAAUCGCUCGGUUUUAGGGAGAGAAUUUUAACGAGAACGAGAAACAGCUGCUUCUUCCGAGACACGAAAAAAAGACAUGCAUUUCUUUUCGAACGAUCGAUCAAGACCGUCGAUUUUUACGAUUCGGAGCAAUAGAAGUGUGUACGUUUAAUCGAGGUUUUGCAAGGGAAAAAAUAUUCAAAUCGAAACCAUUUACUCUCUGCAAACAAUAGAUGUACAGGAUAUAAAAGCGAACAUAGUCUAUUAAAUAUAUAAUGAAGUUAAUGUUUAAACGCGCGAUCGCGAUUUGCCCAGGCAUGUACUAAAUGUUCGGAGACGAUAUUGAAAAUGUUACGAUCUUGUACCCUUUCUUCGUGGAAGUUUUCUGGUUUUGUAGAAUUUAAAUAAUACCGGUCUGAUCGUUUCGGCUAGCUGAAGCGCUUCUUCUCGUCAUAUGUAAAUACGUCAUCGCGUUCACCAUGUACAUAUAUAUUACUAGUUCAUAAACUAAAUCACCUCAAUCAGAGACCAGCAAACGUGGCCCGCGGAAUGCGAAAUUUUCGUCGUGUCUAAUCGCAGACAAGCAACAAUAGCUACAUGCAGUAGCUACGUAAGAUGAUGAGUUUAUGAAACGUGAAAAGUCGCCUCUUUGUUGUUCAACUGUGAAACGAUUACACGCAGCGAAACGAUGUCGCCUUAAUUAGAAACAGUGGAAAUUUAAACAAAUCCCACGUAUCACGAAUAUUUGGACGGACAGUAAUGUUCCUCUUAGAUCUUUUCUUUCAUUCUUAUUCUUUGUAUUCUGCUACAGUGGUGUGGAAAUUGCUUUCCGAAUAAGAUAUGGAAAAAACGUUGUGUAUCUAAAAUUAGAAAAUGAAAAGAGAACAGAAGGUUACUGAAUAAAUAAAUUCACAAAUACAUUUAGAAUCCUUUCCCUUUAGGAACGAAAUAUUGUAUUUUAAAUUGUUUGAUUGGAAAAGCAUACUAGUGUUACCGAUCGAUUGUAAUUGAAGAAAUCUUGGGGUGCAAAAGACGAGAUUUCCUCGAGACUGAUAUUUUAAUUAUUCAACGAUUAUAAAUCUAACUUUCCACUUUCGUAGCACAAUUAAAGUGACUUCUGGAAAAAGGACUCAUAAAACGAAACGAUGAGUUGGAUAAAUUGUAUUAGAAAUUUUAGUCUCUCAAUGUUAGCCACUUUCUUAUUUUCAUAUUUACAAGGAAGAAUUUAAAAAAAUCUCAUAACGAUUCAAUCUGUAGCCUAAGAAAUAUACUCGAUAUUUGUCAAACGUGAAACAUAUUUGUCAUAAAUCCAUAGACUCCUAUUCCAGAGAGCUCUUUAACUAUUAUUGUUUAAUGCGUGCCAAUGUAAAAAAGGUUCACCUUAUUUUAUCGCGGACUUUUACGUCUGGACCCGAUGCUCUUUUAUCUUUUAACAGCCUUUUGAACAAUUCGCGAAAAACUCUAGGCUUGACUUCCGCGAAUUUUACUCGUCAGUCUCGUGGAACGCUCGUUCUCGCCGAUGGAAAGUGCGGGAACGCUUUCAAGCGAUUGGUUAGGAUAAAAGAAAAAAGAAACGAAAGAAAGGAAAGAAGUGAGUGAAGAAAGGGUAGGGAUUUAUCCAGGACCCUUUCUAAGCGAUAAGUGGUGAAAGAGGAACACCGUGGUUCCGUCCAAGUUUCGCAACGGUCCGAUUUGCAAUUUGAUUAAUUACAAGAGGAAGCGUGGGGAUGAAAGGAGUGUGAGAAGAUAGCGGAGAAAGAAACGAAGGGAAAGUUUGAGUGUACGUUUGAGUGUGUGCGCGCGUGUACCCGAGGGAAUGAAAGGGAAUGGAGCGAGUGUGAGCGCGUGAAAUUUAAUGUUUCCUAUUAAAUGAGAAAAAAAUUUACAGAUAAUACAUAGACGAUUACUUAAACAAGAUUUGUAAAUACGUAGCUCACUGUAGCUGGUCAGUUGGGCAUUUAACGAUAUACACUUCGAGAUAAAGAAAGCAGGCGACAAAAAAAAAAAAACGAAGUAGCAAACAAACGAAAAAGAAAAGAAGAAAAAUGAUAAUUAAAGAAGGAGGGAAAUUUGAAAACACAUUGAAGAGAGAAGAAUAAAAAGAAAAAAAAAACAAAGAACGAUACAUAGAGAUACAUUACUCUCUUCGCGUUAUUACACAUACAUACAAGUAUAUAGUACACACACACACAAAUACACGUACACGCAUGUAACAGAAAUAAACAUUUUUUGGAAAAUUAAUGGGAUGGCAUGUUUUGUUGGUUCUCGAUCGCAAUGAGAACGACGGAACAUAAAUGAAUGAUAACUGGAGGCUAGGUGAUAAUUCAUAAGUCGUAAAAUACCUACGUUAUUAGAUAAUGAUGAUAUUAGACAAUUAAGCGACAAGAAAGAAAAAAUCCACGUAUACUUCACACUAGCAAAUAUGCCUUCGUUAUGGAAAGUGGCUGGCACGUGAUGCACCAAACAAUAAAGUUGCUACGGAUUAAAAAAAGAAAGAAAAACUAGUAAAAAAGACGACUGCAAAACGGUGGGUCUCUUGUCUCCGAUUUGGCACGUCAUUAUUCUUUUUUUCUUUUUACCUAGUUUCCUUCCUUUCCAACCUUUUUCAUUUUUCUCUGCCUCUUUCUAUUUUUUAUUUUCAGUUCUCUGUCUCUAGCACUGUCGGUUGGAACACGUCUCUUUCACAGGUUUUACACCCGCACCGUUCUUUCCUUCGACAAACCAUGGCACCGGAUUCAGCUCAGCUUUGCUUUCAGCUACUUUCGUUUCUGCUCGGAGAGACACAGCCAGUCGGUUAGUAACGAUACGAGGAUACAAAAACUGCCAAGACACCAGUCUAUUUCCUAAUUUCAUGACAGUCAGCCACACGAAGUUCAAAUAAAUAAACUAGAAGUUAGGGCUGUACUUAAAACAUGUUUUAUAGUUCCUUGAACCUUCCCUGGAAUCCUCCUCACAUCAACCCAACACUUCACCGCUUUUACUCAAGAUCACUAUGAACAGUAUUGGAUCCUCAAAUUCGCUUCCAAUGAAUAAUUUCUAAUGAAGCCUGUGAAGUCUGAAUCAAGUAUGAAACCUCAAAAGGGCGUUAUAAAAGGCACCCUUGUAAAUUAAAAAAAAAAAUCUAAAGAGAACCGCUAUAUUAUAAAAUGUAUAAAAUACGAUAUAACGUCAUUGUCCCCACACUAGUAGGUCCCCCAACUAGUAAGUCCACCACACGACCGACUGGCGUGUCUCUCUGAGAUCCCUGCAAUUAAUUGGUCCACAAUUAAUCCACAAUUGGUCCACAACACGCACACACCAGAUUCUUGGUGGCCAAGAGACGAGACAAGAGUGACGCAGAUUUCGCGUCCUUUCUCUCGAACGAUUUUUGUCCCUUGAUACGAAAUACGGGAAAAGGGAGAAACCACGAUUAGAAAGCUAAGCACUUUUCGACUUUCGCGUGUACAAUGAAUAGCCGAGCGUAUUUUUUUCUUUUUUUUUUUUGUUGAGGGACGACAGAAGGGAAUAAGAAGGGAAGAGAAGCAGGAAAUUCUGUCGCCGUCUUCGUAUCGUUGUAGCGUCGUAGCGGAAGAUGAUAAACGUGACGACCUGUCGUUAGUAACUAAGAGGCCUUAAUAUAUUGCGUUUACGAUAUAUUAUAACACAAACACACAUUCACAGACACACGUCGGUUCAAUUCUAAGCAUAAAAGAUACACGAGAGUAGCAUAGACGGGAACACAAGAUACACAUUUGGAAGUUAAGUGCAAGUAAUCGAUAGUACAGGGCACGGAAAACGAAACAAUCUAUUUAGUAAACAAAUUCUAGAGAACCCUGCGACUGCGAGUAGUUUUGGAUUGUUCGAGUAGAUUCAUCGUACUGUAAAGUCGCAUUUUUCUCUUUGUAGAAUCGUUAUGGAAUAAUCUUGCUAUCGUUCCUCUUAUGUCGAUACCGUCGGUACAUGAUUAAUUUAAUUAUUAAAAUUUUAGUUUGUUUAAACGAAUAAUAAUAUACAUCUUCUCUACUAUAACGGUAUUUCGAAAUAAAAUGUAAAAUGAAGCUACAUCUGUACGAAUUUAUACAUAUUUCGUAAUAUAAGAAAUUCUUUCAAACGUAACAUUAAUACUCGUGAAAGUAUUCAAACUAUCAAAAAUAUUCCUAAAAUUGAUGCAAAAUUUUACUGACAACUGAUAUUCGUUGUCGUGGAUAAUAAAAAUGAUCAACAUAAAAAUAUUUGAAGGAGAAGCUUCUAAAUCUUUUCGUUUAUUGCGAAGACUAGUGUCUUCGAAUAGAAUCGAAAUAUAUUAAACAAGUUCUGAACUGAACGUAUAAUCAAAUGAUUUUAAAUUACAUUAUAAAGUUGGAAACUUGGACAUAUUGUAAUUUUAGCAUAAGAGAAACGAUACGUAGACGUGGAGACUUUACGCGAUAAAAGUAAGAGUACCGUUUAAAACGUAAAUCUCUUGUAGCAAGAGAAGCACUUGAUUUAAUCCUCUCGGUGUCUCUAGCACGUUUCCAUCGUAAACAAACUAAAAUCUGAUCUAAGAACGAGUACCAAGCAUAAGUCAAAGAUCGAAAGCACAGAAUGGGCAGUCGUGGGGUCCUAGAAAACGAGUUUAAACGCGAUUUUCCUCGUUCUAUUCUGCAUGGAUUUCAAGAUAAUGCGUUAAACGGGUCGAGGAGGAAGAAAUCGUUAUCGUAUAUGUAGAUGUAAACGAUGUAGAAAUAAAUAACGAACAACGUUUAUGACCGAUAGUAAAAGCAAGAUGGAAAUAGAAAUGAUGCCAGUGUGAUUUAUGCGGCACAAAGAUUAAAAUAUAAUUUAUUCCAUUUCUGGAAUAUUUCAAACAACGAAAACGCGAUUAUUCGAUUUCUAAAUAUUUGAGCACAAUAUCUGAAAAAUUCUAAAGUUGUCCAGAAUAUCCAAUAUAGCAUUUUGGUGUUUUAAACAUUUUUAAAAAUAAGAACGCUAGCUAGAUUUCUAAAUAUUUGGCUACUGUAUUUGGGAAAUUUCAAAGUUUCUCAAUAUCCGAUAUAAAAUUUUCAUUUUUUCGACGUCUCUAAAAAUAAAAACGUUAUUCGAUUCCUCGAUAUUCAAAUAUUUCGUUUGGAAAAUUCCAAGGUUUCUAUAUAUGCGAUACGAAAUGGUGAAUUUAUCGAUGAGAGAAGAGAAUGAACGCAGAGAAGAACGAGGUAAAUCGAUUUGUACAGUGACAACAGUUUUCCAGACGCACGUCUGUUCAGAAGCAGAUGGGAAGGUAAAUUAUCAUUUGCACGUGCCACAUUUACAGCGUAUCUCAUUCUAAAGAGGACUUUACCGAUCGUAGUUCUUCCCUGGGAGUACAGUUUUCGCAUCAGCACUGCCAGUUUAUCAUUGUUAAACGGAGGAAUCGCCAUCGACCCCAUCGCUUUGUUCGCGUUGUUCAAUUCCGGUCUCGUUCUAGAUUCGUAGACGUUCGAAGAAUUUUUCGAAACGCGUGUAAAUUUCAACAUUUGCCGAUUACAUCCGCAUCCACGUACAAUUGCUCCUAAAUAGUUCGAACAACGUUUCCUUUCAUAAAAAUGACCAUCGAUUCGUUGUAACAAUUUUCAUUUCACAUAUCGCUGAUUCAAUUAGAAAUAAAAUACUUUUCGGAGAAUUCUUCGAACGUCUUUUUUUCUAACUCUCUAGCAGAGUGACAUGGCAGAGAAAGAAAUUCGAAUGAGAGAAGAAUAGUUCGUCACGUGCGUGUAAUAUCUGUAAAAAGGAAAUGGCAACCGUCGAGGAAAUAGAAUCGCUAUAGUGACUUUGGAAACUCGACGGCGAGCACACUGUUAGCACUCGUAAGCGUGUAAAUAUUAGCGUGUAACCUCGAGAAUUCGCGUACCUUGAAAGUAGCCCGAAGCCUUUUCACAAUUAGCGAUAACGGAAGAAGAAAGAAAAGAAAGAAAGAAAGGAGUUACAGAGAAGAGAAAAAAAGAAGAAGAAGAAGACACUUCGAUAUUCCCUCGAUGACGAAGGGUAUACAUCGAAAAAUGAAAGAAAAAAAAAACGAAAGAGAUAGAAACGAAGGAAGAAACAGGCAGGCACAAACACAAAAAGACCUCAAUCGUGUUGUUGUAAAUAGUAGAAUAGAGCUCGAUCUAAGGUAAACAAAAAAUCGUUAAGGUUCUAAGGUUUUAAUCGUGUAGGGUACGUACUUAAAAAUUAUUCGAGGACGAACAUUUUUUCAAUGGGCAGGCACGUAUUUUUUAGGGUUAGCAAUCGCGUGGGUGUUAAGACGAGCGUCGAGCUGUGGAAGUUGUAUCCUUGUGUACGCGUUUUCUGAUUCUAGUAUUUUCUUUUUUUUUUUUCGUCACUUUGAAUUCCUCAUUCUCCCCUCGCUAAUCUUCCAUUCUCGAGCUAGACUGUAAGAAAGAAAAAAGAAGAGAAAUCUGCUACAUUCUGAGAAAACCCUUGACACCGAGAAAAAAAGCUCGCGCCCGUCUCGAUGAUUCCUUUUUUGCGUCACGUGGUUGCGUUCGUUCUCGCGCAGACGGGCGAAGCUCGUUUUUACUCUUUCUCUCUCUCUAUACACGUACGUAUAUAUACAUAUAAAUUAUACAUACAUAUUAAUAAAGGAUAAAAAAAAAAAUGAAAAAAAUAGCUGGUACUUUAGUAUAUAUAAAUACUAGGCUCAACGAUCCGGCACUUCUCGAUUUAGGAAGACGAUCUAGCCUCUUCGGACGCAUCGCGCGAGGAUAUAUUUUUUUUAAAACGAAAUAUCUCGACGGCAUGGUUUUACUCGCAGAACUCUCGCUCGUUCGACUCACUUGUCUCUUUCUCGCGUUCGAAUCAUCGAAUACGAGUCCCCGAAUCAUGUAGCAGACUCUGAAAUAUUUCGAACCGUGGAAACACCUUUUCGCUCGAACGGAACGCCUCUCGAAUUUUUCUUACCGGGACGAUCUAUGUUUCUAGACGAGAUUAGAACAAAGUCAAGUGCAAACGAUGAAUUCACGGAAAAAAAGGAAAGAAUAAAGAAGCAAAAUGAGAAAAAAAAAAGACAAAAUGCGAGUGCUCGAUCGUUGAUCGAUUUAUGAUCGUCUAUUUAAUGUUCUGCGUGUCCCUUGUUCUUGGUGUCUUGUACUUGUAAAUAUAUCCGUGAUAAAUAAACCUAUGGAGUCCUGUCGUUUAAACAGCCGUCGAUUAAAAGAAGAAAAAAGAAAAAUUCCUCUGUGAUAGCUUUAAAAUAGAAACGAUGCAAAACUAUUAAAUAAACUAAAAAUCCUCUACUUAAAUAAAAAUCGUAUUCGUAUGUAUCGACUCGAAUUGUUAGAACACACAAACUCACAAUUUUGCACAAGUAGUUUAUUAACGGAUCAUGGAAUGUUAUGAGAAUGAUUGACGUCAGGACUUCUCGAACGUGGUUUGCAAGCAGGUUCGUCGGAAAUGCGUGGCGAACCACGCUCGAAGGGUGAAUCUUGACCUCUUCGUGGACUCGUGCGUUUAAUUAACCCCCGAUCAAAGCCACCGAUUAACGUGGCGUUUGUAUAUACAGUGAAAUUUUGUCGACGAUACGUGUACGUAAAGCGAUAAGCGUGUGAACUCUUUUAAAACUUUACAGGUACGUCUACGCGUAGAGGUUCUUUCAUUCGUUUUAUCCCCGUUAAAUAUUUUAUUCUUAUUAACGUCACGAGAAAACGUUUCUAAGAAAAAUUAUUUAUUUCUGAAACACGAUUCAUCGUGCCGCAGUUAAUAAUAGAGAAUGUUUAACGAGGUGAAAAUAAAUGUGACAGCCUGUACAUGUACGAAUAUUCUACGGAUAUGUAUAUGUAACAAAUUCUUUCGUGUCGAUGCUAUUACACACGUAGGAUCGUUUCUAUUAGCGGGUAUAUAUGUGUACUUUUUUAGAGGCGAACAGGCGAUCGUCCAUUCGCGCUCGAACCACUCUCAAUUCACGGCCAAAAUAAUGUUUAGGGAUGCUCGUAUGCCUUCUACACAUACACCUGAACACACACGAACACUUGUAAGAUUUAUAUAUUAGCUGGGACGCAUGGGGUGUCGAUUAAAUUGUCGCGACACCUUUCCCAUACGAAAAGAAGAAACAAGUAAAAGAUAAUAAAAAUUCUUACAAAAAUUGGCUCAAGAAUAUUUGAACAUUAUUUAUAUUAUAUUACAGACCAUCCACCUUUGUUCUUAAAAAUCUAGCGAAAGAAAUAGAAUUAUUCGACACAUUUGAGAAUUUUCUCUGAAACAAUCGAAUUAAUCUUUUCUGUUUUACGAAGUUUCGAUCAACCGACGAUGUCACCCCGUGUGCACAGCAUUUAAUGUACGUUUUCUCUUCCUCUUCCUAGCAACUUGUCCGAACUUUGAUAGGAACGAUGCUCGUGGAAAACGAUCGAGAGCCUCGCGACUAAGCCCGCUGGGAGAUCGUCGAUCUAUAAAAUCGCGAUAGUCUGUAUCUAUUAAGAAACGUCCGUCUGGCGAUAAGGGCGGACCUCGUGUAAUAUAUUAUUACGUCGCAACGAUAGGUGGCAAGAGUUAAUAUUUGUAGGUAAAAAGAUAGGGGAACGAAGUAGAAAGGCUGAUCUCCGCCGUGUAAUUUUUGUAUUUUCGGGAAAGCGAGACCGACCGACCGCGUUAAUAAUGGUAAUUGUAAAGACAGUACAAUUUUGCAUCGCUACUCGCAGCGUUUUAUUAAAUACGAUUUAGUAGAGGUCAGCGAUUACCGAAUAAUCUUUGUAAUAUAAAAGAAGAGCACGAGUGGGUGGAGAAAUAUGUCGCGGAGGUGUCGAGCGACGAUUUCCUAGCUGGCUCGAUUCUCGAAGAACGAGAUCAGAGAGAUAUUUUUGAAAAAACUUUUCUCGGAAGAAUAUUUUGCACGAAAUUCGAUAGGUGUGGUGUGAAGAGAGCGGAUUUUUCUCACGAUAAUAAAAGAAUUCCCUGAUGAUAGAAAAAGGGAGAAAAAUGUACAAGAUUGGACCGAGAACGCGUUGUCUCGAUCGAGUUUCCGCCUUGCAUCGUCGAUAAAGUUCGGGGGUGUUUUCUUCGAUAUGUUCUAGAAAACAAGUGAUAAGAUUUAAAGGCCGUCGUAACAGAGGCAAUGUACUCAGUGUAAAUAGGAAAGAAAAAAUGAAACUGUAAAGAAGUAAGACGAAUGCAGAUAAGAAACAACAACUAAGAUAACAAUUACGUGUCUACGAUGCCUAUAUCUGUUUAAUCUACGUAAAACGAGAUGGAAGCAAUUAAUUGCUGAUCACUAUUAAACUAAUAACUAAACAACAGUUUAUUCUAUCUGUGUGUGUCGGUUUCGAUUGGACAUAGAUUUUGUAUCACCCUUUUCUCCGUGUAUGGUGUGUAGCCAGAAGGUUGAUUUCGGGGGGGAUGCGGAUUAAAACGAAAUUAAUUUAAUAAAUAUACCAUGUAUUCGUCAUAGGAUAUGACAGAAAAAAAUAAUGAGAUCAAAUUAAGGAUAACGCUUAUGGACAAAUUUUGUAUUACGAUCUAAAACAAUUUUUACGUCGGAGAAUAAAUUUUUUUUGUUAAUAGAUCCACGUUUGACUUUGUACGUUCAUGGUGAAAGGUACGAUCGAUGAUCAACGAUUGGCUACGAAAACAUUAAAAUCCUAUCCCGUUCCCAUCGAAAUCGACCUUUUGAAUUGUAGAUUCAAUCGUGUCUUUCACAACUAAGUAGUCUUUGUAAAUCGAUUUCCGAUAGACGAAGUCGCGUUUCUUCGAAACUAGCUCGUAACUUAAAACAUACUGUAAGGAACCGACCAUAAUGGUAUAUCAGUAUAUCGAUACACUGUUGCGUCGAUCCUUUACGACGGAGAGAGGAGAUUCGCACAGACUAUUCGAUGUACGCUUUCGAUCAACGCGCGAUCUUGAUCGCAGUCGAUAUAUUUCAAGAUUUAUCGUGCACAUGUCGUAGAUAUGUCUACGCACCGGGUGCUUCGAGACCAGUUUUGAGAAAUUAUUGGAAAUCAAAAUUCGAAAUAAAUUACCAUUAUUGUUUCUUUCGCGUCAAAAUCGAAUUCCAACUGUUAUCGAACGCAUUAUCAAUGAAUUUUCAAUCGAAGUUAUACUUGAAGUUUAGUUAAAUAAAAGAUUUUCGACACGUUCGUCUUUACGUUUCUUUCGCGCGUAUGUCAAAUCUGGAAUUGUUAUCGAACGCUUUAUCGGCGAGUUUUCGUUUGAAAAUUAUGCUUGAAAUUUAAUGGAAAUUCUGGACACGUUUCAAGUAUGAACGUUUCUCGAAUAACAUUUUUGGAAAAGGAAACAAAAAAAGAGAACGAAAUUGGUCUUAAGCCCUUAUUUUCUCUGGUAAUUAGCUGUAAAAACUUCAUCAAUUAUAAUUAAGACCGCGUCGAGGAUUUUUAACGAGGAAUCUAAACAAAAGAGAGGAGUUUUUAUUUGCAUUUUUCUUUUUUCUUUAGAUUCUUCGUUAAGAAGAGCGAUCUAUCGAUAUAUGCACAUUUAUCGUCGUAGAGUGGAUCUUCACGGAAAAAAGAUCGUAGUCGAUUCCAGCCUUUCUAAUUCCAAGCGUUCUACUCUACAACUUUCGGCUAAAUAAUCAAAUACCAUGGGAAACUAUGAAUCAAAAGAUGUGAAGAAGAGAAAGAAAUAUGCAGCACGUAAACACACGGAUGAACAAACGAAUGAACACGUCGUGCAUGAAUGCACGCGCGCACACACACACACAUACACACACAUACACACACAUGCACACACACAAAAGUAUAUUCACAGCGAAAGGAAAAAAAGACAAAAAUUCAAAGGCGAGGCGAUUAAACUUUCCCGAUGAAAUUUCUCGAUCGCUCGAUAAUUUGCAUUCGCGCGUCGUAUAAUUUUUCGCGACAACGUAGGAUCGAUUGUGUAAAUUAAGUUUAUAAGAUUCUCUCCGACUGGUAGCGUAAGAAACGAUCGAUUGCAGCGAGAAAUCGGAAAUAAUCCUCUCUCGGAAAUCUAACAACUAAAAUUUUCAUUUUCAUCGAGAUUAUUUGUUUGCAAUAGUUUCUAUCAAAAUUGGAAUAAUCAUGUGGAAUAAUAAUUAUUAGAUAUAAUUUGGUUUCUCGUUGCAUGCGACUACAAGAAAUAAAAUUCUAGUUCAUACGCAUAAUAAAAUAGCAACGUUUUGUAUAGUGCGAGCACGUUUUUCGGACUCGAAAGUUUAAUCGAAACCAUUUUUUCGAAACUCCACGUCUCAGCCUUCGGACGAUCGACAGAACGACGAAUCCUAAGGACAAACAAAAUAAAAUAAAAGGGAAAACAUGGAAAAUCUGAAAAAAAAAAAUACCAGAGCAUUGAAGACUGGCAAUCAAAACUAACGUAGGCAGAUUUAAAACGCAGAUUUAUUCUGAUGUCUAGCACGAUCGUGCGCGGCCUUGCCAGCACGCAAGCGACUCGAAUACAGAAAUUAUUUUCGAUAUGUCGUGUGUUUGAUGUCGAAGGAGAUCGUUCUGUUUGCCUUAUCUAAAUUUAUCGACAAUGCAGAGCAAAGAUCAUUCCUGGAUAUCUUUGAUUAGGAAAACAAAAAAGGAGAGAAAAAAAAAUAAAAUUGAAGAACAUCGAUGAAAUGUCAAAAAAAAGAAGAAAAGAAAAAAAAUUGAUUGAAAAAUUAUCCUAGCAGAAAUUGUGUAAAAAUAAUACGAAAAUAAUAUCCUUGGAAUAUUUCGAAAUAUGUAUUUGAUUUGAGUGUGUGACGACGAUCGUACUAAGCAAGAAUAAAUCGGCGAAGGAAACUAAAUGCAAUUCUAUGCAACUCUCCUUUAAAACAAAAAGUAAACAAAUAAAAAGAAAUAGAUCGUACAGUUUUGCGAGUAAAAUGCGCGUCUAAUGUAACGCUAGUGAGUAGAUAGGUAGGUACCUGCAUUUCAUGAAAUUUAACAUGCUUAAAUAGAUCCUUAAUAAAUCGUUAUACAUGUUUUGAUAAA